AUUGAACGCUGGCGGCAUGCCUUACACAUGCAAGUCGAACGGCAGCAUGAUCUAGCUUGCUAGAUUGAUGGCGAGUGGCGAACGGGUGAGUAAUACAUCGGAACGUGCCCUGUAGUGGGGGAUAACUAGUCGAAAGAUUAGCUAAUACCGCAUACGGCCUGAGGGUGAAAGUGGGGGACCGCAAGGCCUCAUGCUAUAGGAGCGGCCGAUGUCUGAUUAGCUAGUUGGUGGGGUAAAGGCCCACCAAGGCGACGAUCAGUAGCUGGUCUGAGAGGACGAUCAGCCACACUGGGACUGAGACACGGCCCAGACUCCUACGGGAGGCAGCAGUGGGGAAUUUUGGACAAUGGGGGCAACCCUGAUCCAGCAAUGCCGCGUGUGUGAAGAAGGCCUUCGGGUUGUAAAGCACUUUUGUCCGGAAAGAAAUCGCACUUACUAAUAUUAGGUGUGGAUGACGGUACCGGAAGAAUAAGGACCGGCUAACUACGUG
rnacentral:rRNA from 1 species